GCUAUAAAGGUUCCUAGGAUAGCAAAUGUGACAAUGGCUCCAAAAUUAGAAAAGAAAGGUUUAGGUGAUAAACUGAACCCAGACUCAAAUAUAAUAGGAGGGAGCAGAAACAGGAAGAAAAACUCCUCAUGGAAAUUAAACCAAGCCCUGAUGCUUGUUUCUGUAUCUGAAAUGUUAGCGAGUCCACCAACAAUUAGACCAAUAAGAAGAGAAGCACUGGCUUCGGGCAGAUAAUAGAAUUUGUAACGGCGAAGAACGUGACCAAGGAUGAAGGAAAGAACAAGCAUCAUGAUCUGAAGGAGUAUGCCCACUCCGGCCGCUUGUUGGUCCUUUCCUGGAUGUGAAUCACUCGGAGAAAUUUGGAGUUCCUCCAUACCAAUCGUGCUCAUUUUGUCUUCUUCUUUGUUAGACCACAACACAGACACAAGGAGUUUCAGGAAUCCCUGUUAUUCAGUAAUGAGAAAAC
rnacentral:misc_RNA from 1 species